rnacentral:rRNA from 1 species
AGCUACAGGCUUAACACAUGCAAGUCGAGGGGAAACGAUAGAGAAAGCUUGCUUUUUCUAGGCGUCGACCGGCGCACGGGUGAGUAACGCGUAUCCAACCUGCCCAUCACUUGGGGAUAACCUUGCGAAAGUAAGACUAAUACCCAAUGACGUCUCUAGAAGACAUCUGAAGGAGAUUAAAGAUUUAUCGGUGAUGGAUGGGGAUGCGUCUGAUUAGCUUGUUGGCGGGGUAACGGCCCACCAAGGCGACGAUCAGUAGGGGUUCUGAGAGGAAGGUCCCCCACAUUGGAACUGAGACACGGUCCAAACUCCUACGGGAGGCAGCAGUGAGGAAUAUUGGUCAAUGGACGAGAGUCUGAACCAGCCAAGUAGCGUGCAGGAUGACGGCCCUAUGGGUUGUAAACUGCUUUUAUAAGGGAAUAAAGUGAGUCUCGUGAGUCCUUUUGUAUGUACCUUAUGAAUAAGGACCGGCUAAUUCCGUGCCAGCAGCCGCGGUAAUACGGAAGGUCCGGGCGUUAUCCGGAUUUAUUGGGUUUAAAGGGAGCGUAGGCCGGAGAUUAAGCGUGUUGUGAAAUGUAGACGCUCAACGUCUGCACUGCAGCGCGAACUGGUUUCCUUGAGUACGCACAAAGUGGGCGGAAUUCGUGGUGUAGCGGUGAAAUGCUUAGAUAUCACGAAGAACUCCGAUUGCGAAGGCAGCUCACUGGAGCGCAACUGACGCUGAAGCUCGAAAGUGCGGGUAUCGAACAGGAUUAGAUACCCUGGUAGUCCGCACGGUAAACGAUGGAUGCCCGCUGUUGGUCUGAAUAGGUCAGCGGCCAAGCGAAAGCAUUAAGCAUCCCACCUGGGGAGUACGCCGGCAACGGUGCAACUCAAAGGAAUUGACGGA